rnacentral:rRNA from 1 species
CUGGCUCAGGAUGAACGCUAGCUACAGGCUUAACACAUGCAAGUCGAGGGGCAGCAUGGUCUUAGCUUGCUAAGGCUGAUGGCGACCGGCGCACGGGUGAGUAACGCGUAUCCAACUUCCCCAUAGUAGGGGAUAGCCCGGCGAAAGUCGGAUUAAUACCCUAUGUUAUUCGAUGCAGACAUCUAAGUUGAAUCAAAGGUUUACCGCUAUGGGAUGGGGAUGCGUCUGAUUAGGUUGCAGGCGGGUAACGGCCACCUGGCCCACGAUCAGUAGGGGUUCUGAGAGGAAGGUCCCCCACAUUGGAACUGAGACACGGUCCAAACUCCUACGGGAGGCAGCAGUGAGGAAUAUUGGUCAAUGGACGAGAGUCUGAACCAGCCAAGUAGCGUGCAGGACGACGGCCCUAUGGGUUGUAAACUGCUUUUAUGCGGGGAUAAAGUGAGGGACGUGUCCCUUUUUGUAGGUACCGCAUGAAUAAGGACCGGCUAAUUCCGUGCCAGCAGCCGC